rnacentral:lncRNA from 1 species
UUUUUUUUUUUUUUUUUUUUUUUGCUAGCAGGUGAUUUUUUGUGAAACUUAGUAAAAGCGAUUCCAAAAUUUAUUUUUAGAAUUAACAUGUGACAAUAACCAAAACAGAGCUGAACACUGUAAAUCAGCUAUAAUGGAAAAAAUAAAAAUCAUUAUUAAAAAAAAGACAGAGCUGAAAAUAAGAAUGAUUAGAAAAUUAAUUUUAUUGUAUAUUGGUAAUUUCAUUUAUAAGAUAUAAAUUGCUAAUACAUUAAUAAUUUUGAUUUUAAAUUAGGAAUUAAGAGAAACCCAGAAAUAAAUCAAAAUUUCCAAGAAAAUGUAAAGCAUGAAAAAGAUAAUUUUCUCCUAAUAGGCAAAAAGAUGAAUUACUUAAUAAAUUAUAUUGAGAAAUCUGGCUUAGGCUAAAUAACUUGGUGUCAUUCUGGUUGUUCUCUUUCCCAGCAUACCAUCCCUCCAUCCAUUGUGAGGUCUACUGAUUCUACCUUCAAAACACACCUGAAUCUGGUCACUGCUCACUACCGCCACAGCCACCAGCACCUUCAUCUCUUAUCUGGAUUUCUAUAGCUUGCUUGCUUUUCGUCUUCUUAGGGCCACACUUGUAGCUAAUGGAAGUUCCUAGGCUAGGGGUUGAAUUGGAGCUGCAGCUGCCGGCCUAUGCCACAGCUCCAGCAACACGGGAUCCAAGCUGCAUCUGCGAUCUACACCACAGCUCAUGGCAAUGCUGGAUCCUUAACCUACUGAUGAGGCCAGGGAUGGAACCUGCAUCCUUGUGGCUACUAUUGGGUUCAUUACCGCUAAGCCCAGUGGGAACUCCUCUAUAGCUUUCUAAUUAAUCUUCUGGUUUCUCUCUUGCCUUCCAACAAUCUUCUCCACACUAUGGUCAGGGUGGUCUUUCAAAAAUGUCAAUCAAGUGAUGUCACUCACUUACUUAAGAUCUUGAAUAGUUUCCCAUCAUAAUUAAGAAAACUCUCAACUCUUUCCAGGUGGUAGGCAGCCCCUGCAUGUCUGGCCCCUGCCUGCUCCUCCAACCUCAUCACUCUUCUCUCACUGACUCCACUCCAGACACACUAGACUUCUAGAACUUACCUGCCUCAGCUCUUGGCAUUUUCUUUUCUCUCUGCCAAAGAAGCUCUUUCCCUAGAUCUUCAUACGGCUCACCCAUCACAUCCUUCAAGUUUUCCUAAACCAAUGUCUACUCCACAAACAGGCCAUGCCUUACCACUCUACCUAACAUACUCCCUUCCCUAGCCCCGUGCUUUAUCUUCAUUGCGUUUAUCAGUCUCCAAAAUUGUUACAUAAAAUAGCCUUAUUUAUCAUCUGUCUCCUGCUCCAUAAUAGGCUCCAUGAGGGUGGAGACUGCUUUGCUCAUCACUGUAAUCCCAGUGCAAAGCACAGGGCCUGGAGCAUAGUAGCUGCUUAAUAACUAUUUGUUCAUUCAAUGAAUUGCAGAAGGACUAGAGAAAAGGGGUUGAAACCAGGUUGUUUAACAGGUAGAAUUCAUUAGGCCUUGAGAUAUUCAAUGGAGGAAGCCUGAGGGACUUAGGAUGCUUCUAAGUUUCUCCACCAAGGAAUUGAAGAGAUAUUGCACAAUUUGUAUGUUAAAAAUUUGAGGAUGAGAAAAUUCCCAGGGAAUAUUUGAGUUCAGUUUAGGGUCUGAGAUGUCUAUGAGCUAUUCAUAUAGGUUCUCCAGAGGUCGACUGGUAAUACUGGUUCACAGUUCAGGAAAUUAGAAAUAGUUUAGGAUUCAUCAUUUUUUUUUUAGGGCCACACCUGAGGCAUAUGGAGGUUCCCAGACUAGGGGUCAACUCCAAGCUGCAGCUGCCAGCCUGCACCACAGCUCACAGCAAUGCCAGAUCCUUAACCCACUGAGUGAGGCCAGGAAUAGGAUCCAAGUCAUGGAUACUAGUCGGGUUCAUUACCACUGAGCCACAAUGGGAACUCCCAUUAUUUUUAAAUGUAUUGAGCUUUUUAAGAGAGGAAGAGAGGAGAAAGGAAAGACUUGCAAAUACACACACACAACUGGGUAAGGAUAUCACCAAAAGCGUAAUUGUCAAGUUACUUUCACUGUUUUGACACAGUAGCAAAUUUUCUUCUGCCUUGAAUAACUGAAAUGACCCACCAACUGUAAAGUAAGAUUAAUUCUCUUUAACUACGAAUAGACCAAUGAAACGUAUCUCAGUAAGACAUGAGUUUAUGCCAAAUGUUAGAACACUAAAUUUAAUGGUAAAGGAUAUAGUUCAGUAGAGUGAUCAAAGAGCAUCUGUUGAAUAGUUAAUUAAUGCUGUUCUUUUCUCUUUCAUUGGUAAGUGCAAGGCAUCCACUGAAGCUGAUCACCUCUGUAAGGGCCUCUGGUAGAUGCAAACUAGCAAAUGUGAACCCCAUUUUUCAUGAUGCUGACAGUCCAGUGGGGGAGAUGCGUUAAGAUGUUGUUUUAACCAUUUUGCCUGUGUCUUUAUUAGAGGUAUUUUAAAUGCCUAAUUCUUUAUUUUAUUUUAUUUUAUUUAUUUAUUUAUUUAUUUUUGUCUUUUUUUUGCUAUUUCCUGGGCCGCGCCCCUGGCAUAUGGAGGUUCCCAGGCUAGGGGUCAAAUCGGAGCUGUGGCCGCUGGCGUAGCGGCCACAGCAACGCGGGAUCUGAGCCACGUCUGCGACCUACACCACAGCUCGUGGCAAUGCCGGAUCGUUAACCCACUGAGCAAGGGCAGGGACCGAACCCGCAACCUCAUGGUUCCUAGUCGGAUUCAUUAACCCCUGUGCCAUGAUGGGAACUCCUAAAUGCCUAAUUCUUUACCCAUUUGAUGAUGCACAUGGUGCAUGAAGCAUAGUUUUGGUAAAAGACCCUAACUGCUCUUUGUAAAGGAGAAUUAUCUCAGAUGAGCUAUGUACUCACCUCUAGGUUUGACAGAGCAGCUGCUUCUUCAGUCCUAUAUCAGCCUCUAAGUGGGAGCCCAGGUAGUCUGUGCCUCAGCUGCUCACCAGAUUAUCUGUUUCUGCAAUAUUAUGUGGGAAAAAAAAUUAAAUACAAAUAUUUUUAAAUUUAUCUGAACACAUUCAGAGAUUAUCAUUAACAUUUUAGCAAAUACCCUUCCAGACAAUUAUAUCCGCACAUAUAAUACAUAUGUUCAUAGCAUGACUGAAAUUUGUUUUGCUUUUUAGGGCUGCACCAGUGGAAUAUGGAAGUUCCUAGGCUAGGGGUUGAAUCGGAGCUACAGCUGCAAGCCUACACCACAGCCACAGCAAUGCCAGAUCCAAGCUGUGUCUGUGACCUACGCCACGGCUCACAGCAAUGCCAGAUCCUUAAACUCACUGAGCGAAGCCAGGGAUCGAACUCACAUCCUCAUGGCUACUAGUCAGUUUGUUGCUGGGCCACAAUGGGAACUCCAUGAUUGAAAUUUACAUAUUGUUUUAUUCCUUAACAAUACAGCAAAAGUAUCUCUCUAUGUCAAUAAACAUACUUGUAAAUGUCUUCAAUGGCUAUAGCAUCCAGUUGAUAGAUGUCUCCAAAUUGAUUGAGCUAAUCAUCUAUUAUUGGAUAUUUAAAUACUUAGGUUUAGGUUGCAGACUUGGCUUGGAUCCCAAGUUGCUGUGGCUGUGGUAUAGGGCGGCUAUAGCUCCCAUUAGACCCCUAGCCUGGGAACCUCCAUAUGCCGUGGGUAGGGCCCUAGAAAACACACACACACUCACACACAAAAGAAGAUACUCAUUCUAAGGCUUUUGCUCUGUUUUACCACAGUACCAUUGAACUGGGCUCUUGGCUACUCUUCCUGACCUUGUUUUCAUCAGGCACAUCUCUGGGCUUCAUUCACCCUAGUUUUUCUGCCAAUGGUACACUUCACCUAAAGACAAUAGAUAUGUAUGUAUUUUAGGACAACCAAUGAAUGCCUGGAAGUUAAUCAGCAAAGGUUCUCUUUUUAAAGAUCUUUUAGGAAAUGGAAAGAUAACGUUGGUAUCAACCUUCCAAGUCGUUCAUGAUUUUUUUUCCUCCUUGAGACCUAGAAAUUUCUCUUCUCACUUCUCCAAUGUCCCAUCUCCUACUUGAAGAACUAAACAUUGUUUAACCAGAGUAUUGUAUUUCUCCAUCUAACUCUAAAUUCCAGCGCUCUGCUAUUUUCCAUAUCACACCAUCAUUGCCACCCCCACUGCUAGUCCAAUGAACUCUUAUCUGCUUAGCACGGGCUCCAAAAAUCACUUGCCGGUGAUUCUACCCCAAGAAAAUUCAUCCCCCAAAGCAAAAUAUUCACAUCAGAGUAAAAAACCCCAGCAAGUCUCCAAAAAUCUCUGAAGGUGGAGGGAUCUCAAAGGGUGAAGCUAUAAGUCAGCUUGUAAGAUAUAAAUCCUAGAACACAUCUUUCCUGUCCCUUGUAGUUUAAAAAAUAUGCUACAUCUCAAGUGCCCAUGUCAUUCAUUAUGACGGUUCUAUCAAUAAUGAUAAUAACUAAUAUGUAAUGAGUAUGACUUUGAGCUAGGCAUUAUUAGAAACAUUUUAAUGUAAUGACUUUUUCUCUUCACUUAAAAAAGCAAACAAACAAAAAACCUCUUACUAUUGUUGUUCCCAGGUAGGAAACAAAUCAUAGACAGUUUAAGUAAUCUCCCCAAGAACCCACAGCUAGUAAGUAACAGAGCUAGACUGAAAAUGAAGGUCUCAACAUGACCCUUGCAGCCACUUGCCAAAAAAAAAAAAAAAAAAAAAAAAAA